rnacentral:rRNA from 1 species
GACGAACGCUGGCGGCGUGCUUAACACAUGCAAGUCGAACGAAGAGCGAUGGAAGCUUGCUUCUAUCAAUCUUAGUGGCGAACGGGUGAGUAACGCGUAAUCAACCUGCCCUUCAGAGGGGGACAAAAGUUGGAAAGGAUUGCUCAUACCGCAUACGCUCUCAUCUCGGCAUCGAGGAUAGAUGAAAGGUGGCCGGUACAUGUAAGCUAUCACAGAAGGAGGGGGUUGCGGCUGUUUAGCUCGGAGGAGGGGUCACGGCGCAACAAGGCGAUGAUCAGUAGCAGGACUGAGAGGAUGAGCGGCCGCAUUGAGAGUGUGACACGGCCCAUUCUCCUACAGGAAGCAGCCGUAGGGAUUCUUGCGCAAUGGGCGAAAGUCUGACGGAGAAACGCCGCGGCAGGAUGGACGGCCUUCGGGUUGUAAAGCUCUGUUUAUCGGGUCGAAAGGCCUUCUUGCGAAUAGUGAGAAGGAUUGACGGUACCGGAAUAGAAAGCCACGGCUAACUACGUG